rnacentral:rRNA from 1 species
AACGAACGUUGGCGGUAUGCUUAACACAUGCAAGUCGUACGUGAAAGCGGACUUCGGUCCGUGAUUAAAGUGGCGCACGGGUGAGUAACACGUGGAUAAUCUACCCGACAGUCAGGGAUAACAUUCCGAAAGGAAUGCUAAUACCUGAUAAGCCUACGCCCUCUUCGGAGGAAGUAGGAAAAGGUGGGGACCUUCGGGCCUGCCGUUGUUGGAUGAGUCCGCGGCCCAUUAGCUAGUUGGUAGGGUAAUGGCCUACCAAGGCUACGAUGGGUAGCUGGUCUGAGAGGAUGAUCAGCCACACUGGAACUGAGACACGGUCCAGACUCCUACGGGAGGCAGCAGUGGAGAAUUUUGCGCAAUGGGCGAAAGCCUGACGCAGCAAUACCGCGUGAGUGAUGAAGGCUCUUGGGUCGUAAAGCUCUGUCAGGGGGGAAGAACCUCCUAACGUAUAAUACACGUUAGGCCUGACGGUACCCUCAGAGGAAGCACCGG